rnacentral:rRNA from 1 species
CGGACGGGUGAGUAAUGUCUGGGAAACUGCCUGAUGAGGGGGAUAACUACUGGAAACGGUAGCUAAUACCGCAUAACGUCGCAAGACCAAAGAGGGGGACCUUCGGGCCUCUUGCCAUCGGAUGUGCCCAGAUGGGAUUAGCUAGUAGGUGGGGUGAAGGCUCACCUAGGCGACGAUCCCUAGCUGGUCUGAGAGGAUGACCAGCCACACUGGAACUGAGACACGGUCCAG